AACGAACGCUGCCGGCAUGCAUAAUACAUGCAAGUCGAACGAUCACUUCGGUGGUAGUGGCGCACGGCUGCGUAACGCGUGGGAAUCUGCCCUUGGGUUCGGAAUAACAGUUGGAAACGACUGCUAAUACCGGAUGAUGACGUAAGUCCAAAGAUUUAUCGCCCAAGGAUGAGCCCGCGUAGGAUUAGCUAGUUGGUGAGGUAAAGGCUCACCAAGGCUACGAUCCUUAGCUGGUCUGAGAGGAUGAUCAGCCACACUGGGACUGAGACACGGCCCAGACUCCUACGGGAGGCAGCAGUAGGGAAUAUUGGACAAUGGGGGCACCCCUGAUCCAGCAAUGCCGCGUGAGUGAUGAAGGCCUUAGGGUUGUAAAGCUCUUUUACCCGAGAUGAUAAUGACAGUAUCGGGAGAAUAAGCUCCGGCUAACUCCGUG
rnacentral:rRNA from 1 species